UACGUAGGGGGCAAGCGUUUGUCCGGAAUUAUUGGGCGUAAAGCGCGCGCAGGCGGUUCUUUUAAGUCUGGUGUCUAAGUGCGGGGCUCAACCCCGUGUCGCACUGGAAACUGGGGAACUUGAGUGCAGAAGAGGAGAGUGGAAUUCCCGGUGUAGUGGUGAAAUGCGUAGAUAUCGGGAGGAACACCAGUGGCGAAGGCGACUUCCUGGCCUGUUCUUGACGCUGAGGCGCGAAAGCUAGGGGAGCAAACGGG
rnacentral:rRNA from 1 species